rnacentral:tRNA from 1 species
GCCGGGGUGUUGGAACUGGCAGACAAUGGGGACUUAAAAUCCCCCGCUCGUAAGAGCGUGAGGGUUCAAAUCCCUCCCCCGGCA